GAAGAGCCUACAAUUUAGGUAACAAAAAGAGGAACACAGCUAACUAAGUAGUGAUCGCUACACACUUGUGACUGCUGAGUGUUCUAUGGGGGAAGCAGGGUGGAUGGCAGUGGGAAAAUCAACUAAGUGGGUAUUUUUUGCAGUAAUCAUUGAAAUGGGUUUAAUGGCCACAAAACUUUGGCAAAGGUAUAUUUGUGAAUGCCCUAAAUAAUAUCCUAUUUUGCCUAUUCAAAAAAAAAAAAAACACUUUACUUCCCAAUAUCCUUAUGCACUUGCAUCACUUCUGACAUACACUGAUAUACUACAUUUCUGAACAUUUCUGGAAUUCAGACAUUUUAUAGUAUAAUCCUUCCAUUUUGCUUGAUCUUCAAAGAACUGGCUGAAGGAAUGCAUUUUCUUGUCCUGCCUCAUCGAGGUUUUGAGUGCCCUUGACAGCUAAAGAACAGAGGUUUGGCCAUGCCUGCUUGGCUAAUCCACCACGUGUCAGAAAGUCCUUUCCCUUUGGUUCAGCUUUCUGGUCAGUUCAGUCGAGUGGCAAUGUUCAGUGUCACCCAGAGAACUCCGUGUAUUUAAAUUCCUCUGUAGGAAUGUCUGGGGCUGUUCUGCAGGCAACAUCCUGUUCCCAUCCUGCAGGCAGCCGCGGAAGCAGGGAGCACGUUCCUGAUGGCCAGCAUGCCCUCAAGUCAUUUUCGUCUGCAGAUCCUGAUUCAUCUCAGCCUGUCUCGGCAUGCCACUUCGCCAGACCACUUAGCAUCCCCAACAACACCGUUUCUUCUUGUGUCUCCCAGGUAAAGAUGCAGAUUGUUAUCCAGCAGCCAGGAGUAUCUGGAGCACAGCCUCCUCCUAGCCUGACCGUGACGGUGACCCAGUCCCUACCCAAAGGCUGCUGGGGGCAUGGAGGAGAGCCAUUUUCCCCAUGUAGCCCUGCCUAGGAUCUCGCUCUUCCCUUGGCCAUCCAAGUGUGAAUCACCACGGGCUGCUACCCCCGGCUGCGCAAUCCCUUCACACCGCCAGGGUGGUAUAAACACAGAGCGCUCCAUCGCUUGUUUGGUAUUUCACUUCUCCAUUGAAACUUGAAACAGCUUGGCAUGAACAGUGCAACCAGAUGUGGCCAGACUCUGAGAUCCUCACACAUCCCAGCACAGCCCUUUUUAAUGUAAGAGCGACAUGACUAAUACCUGAGCAAACAUUUAAGGAACUGGUCUUGUUUCUCUAGAAGUGCAGAAGUGAGGAUGUCACUGCUCCUCUCUGCAGCAAGCUUUUUAUUGUCAUAUUUAUUAUUCUCCAAGCAUUAUACCUUUUCUCCUGUUGAGAAGAUGAUGGCUCCUUUAUCAGAACCAGUCAGUGCAAACUGUGAGAUGAUACAAAACAGACAUCAUGCAUCUGCUGAAGACUGGGACCAAAGAUGGAAGCAAAAGAUUAUAACAGAGCACAGCUGGCUGAUAAGCAUGUUUAAAUUUUGCAGAGAUAAGCUGUGAGAACAGGAAGGAGUUCUUUCUCUCCCUUCUGUUUGUUUAGCUUUCUUUAAUUGUUUAUUUCUAGGAUGAAAAACAUGCCCAUUCAGACUUAUCAAGUAAAUUAAAGCAAGGCACAGGGAGAAAUUUGUCUCGUUAGAAAUAUGAAACCCCUAUCAUGGCCUGAAGUAAACAGGACUUUCCAUUUUCCAGAGCCACGUAUGAUUGUGAAGGGUCGGGCAAGUACGAGCUCUCCUUGCUGACGUUUGCGGCUGAGCCCUGGCCUGUGUAAAGCAGCGAAGUCGGACUGUGGGUCCGCCUGGCUCCCCUGGCUCCAAGACAGGGAGGGAGGGAGAGAGACUACACGAGCGCCACCUCACUUACAGAUGUGAGACGGCAGCGCGGGGAAGUUUCAUAACUCCUCUCGCAGGGCGAAACACUCUUAUGAUUUAUUUGGAUCAUUGCAGCGUGCAUGCUAAGUACAGGUUAUUCUGCAGGCAUCCUCAGCGAGUGAGCAUCUGCUCCUGCUCUCCACAGAUGUAAAAAUCAGGCUCUCGAAAAGUGUUUUUAUAAGGAGAACAAAGCACGCAAACAAAAAAAAAGCACUCCAAGGAAGUGUUACAGUCUGAGGGACUGAUUCUGCUGCCAUAGGAAGAAAUGGACAUUUUCCCAGUGUGCUUCAAAGAGCCAGAAUGCCACAGGCAGCUAAACUGCCAUUGCAAAAAGGGGGUGUUGCAUUACCCUUCUUCCUCUGCUUGCCUUGUCCUGAAGGCAAGUCUCUGAGUCUGAGUCCUCCUCCGAUCCCUUCCUGGAGCUGCAACCCUGCAGCUGCUCCCGUGGAUCCCCACUGGUGCUAAAGAAGCUGCGGCAUCAGAUCAGUGAUCUAUAACAUCUCACUUCUUCCUCUCUGACCCAGAGCACGUGUAGGAGGCCCCGUUUCGUCAUGCAGCACAACACGCUUUCAAAAUGAUUAAAGAAACUCUACCCUAGCUCACUGUUCGCGUUCGGGUAACAGCAAUAACGCAGAAGCAAGCAGCACGUUCAGCUGUGCUCUCCGGGUGCUUUAUGCCCCUCUGGAGAUGCAAAGCUGCCAGCGAGCCGGGUGUCUGCCAGCUUUGCCUCCCUGGAGCCAUGCCAAGCAGCCAGAGGAGUGCCAGCGAAUAACCCGCCUAACCUCUCAUUUGCACCACUGUAGCUCAGGCACUCUAACACUUUGUAUCGUAAGACUUUGGUUCAGGCCUUCAAGACCUGUCAUGAAGGGCUGAGACCAUAUCAGACCAAGAAGGGUAAUUUUAUGAUGCUCCCCUCCUACAUUUUAAACAGCACCAGCAUGAAAUGGAAAACAAAAUGGAGCUAUUGAAGUCAGAUAUGCUCUCACCAGUCAUCUUUGGUGGGGAGGGAUGGGAGAAAUGUUUUGUUUUCUUCUUUAGAAUAUAUUAGGAGACUAGUGUGUUAGUGCAAUAGGCAAAGAAAGUACAGCUGAUAUAAACAAUGUGUUCCUUGUGCUUUAAACAAUGUGGAUUGCUCACAUGGCCCAAACGUUUGGAUAACUACCUAAAACUUGUUUGCAAAGAUCGCAGUGCAAACGUACAGAAACCAGCUGUCCUCAUAAAGCUUGUUAGUUAUGUUGAAGCCUGGUGAUCCACCUGACUCAGCUCAACACCAGCUUACUGCUUCCUCUGUUGUCCCUGCUGUUGUUACUGCUGCAAGAAUUUUUGUUUCACAUACAUUUGUGAAAAAAUCCAUCUUUUUAGUGGAAAAAGACCCCUAGGCGUUGCACAGUAUCUCUGAAAAACCUGUCCUUGGCUCUAGAAGCGCCUUCAGUGCGAUGAUGUGAAUUAAUCACUAAUUCACUAAUCCUCGCAGUGACACAGUCCCCAAAGGGCUCAGUCGCCCCGGCUCCGCCGCCAACGUUACGGGCCAGGAAUGCGCGGGGUCGCCGCGCGGGGCCACGCAGCACGGCCAGCCGCACGCAAGCACGCCCCACAGCCGCCUGCAAUGGCCCAGACUUUGGUAGGGCUUCAGAAAUGUAACAAGCUACUGCUCUGACUUAGAUUGCAGGAGCAUGCUCUGGAUGACGAGAAGGAUGAUUUACUUAAGUAGACAUAGCAGCUGAGGGCACCCAUUAAAACUGAAGCAUCCAUGUCCUAGGUAAUUAUAAUCGGUGGUGAAAAACAGGCUUUACCCUUGUAAAAGUUUCUAUCUAAUUAUACGUUUUGCUCCAAAAUUAUUACAAAGUAUUUUAUUGCACACUGGUUUCAUUCAUAUAAAUGACAAAUAUUUUAAUAAGUACCUUAAAUUCACGUGAAAGAUUCAAAAAGACACAAGGAAUUGCAUGUGCCUUGUAGUUAUCUAGUUCCUGUAAGAUCAUGUUUUUAUGAUAGAUUGUGUAAGAUGGAAGUAUAAAUACACAGUGUAAAAAUUACCUGAAGGCUUGCAUAUUCCCAAUAUGUGUUUUCCUGUUUCUACAUUUUAAAAAAGUAGAACAAGCUGGAUCAAAUUCACAGUAGAAAAAAUAAAAUUCAAAUGACAAAGAAGAUCUCAGACUGUGGGCUCAAAGCUUUAACACUACUUUUUCUUCACCAUGUUGGUGGCAAAUUGUACAGCAGUUCUUAUCAUCUUCUAGAGUGCUCCUGGAUGAAAAGGGUAACAUGUCCAGCAUAGGCACUGUAAAAUCCCCAUGAAAAACAGUAAACUAGUGUUUGUGGUGUCUUUCACUGUAGUUACUGUAUCAGUACCCAGAAUAUAUCAGUUCAUUUGUAUGAAGUGAUAUUUUUUUGGAGCAGGGGAAGGAAGGGAAGGAGAAGACCUGAGGUGCCAAAAGGUGAGGGAUACGCACUCAUGCAGGAGAACAAAGCUCAAACCAAGAAAAGAAACAGCAGGCUGGAUUUCAUGUGGCUGCUGUGAGACCUGGUUUGUAUGUGUUUUGCAUGAUGUGCUUCCAUGUAGGAGAAACAGCAAUAGGAGCAGAGAUACAGCUCAGUAUGUUGUAAAAAAAUAAUUGGAUUGGCAAGAUAAUCACAUACAAGAUACCUAAUAACUGCAUUUUCUUUUCAUUGUUUUAAAUAGGUCACAUCACUCUGAAUCAAAUUUUCCUCUCUGGUGCAGGCCAAGCAUGUGACUCUUUGUAGCUUUAAAAAAGGGAGCAGCAGCAGACCCUUGGGGUAUAGCAAUAUUAUAGCAGCCACGCAACAGAUUUCUGCAUUCAGAAAAGCUUUUUAGUGUUGGGUCAGGCAACAGCUAAGCAGAGACAUAUGAUUUUUUUUCCCUGUUGUCAGAAGAAAAUGUGGAACUGAUAAGAAACACCUGUGGAAAUGGAAAGCCAUUUCAGACACCAGGGUUUGUUUAGAUGAUGAAGAGAUAAAACUAACAGCAUGUGUUGUAAGGUCAGAUAAUCUUGAACAGAAUGUCUGUUUGAAAAAAGAAAAAGGAAGAAGCAAUAGUACGUUUCAGGUAAUCAGCUCUCUGUGCAAAGAAAGGUCCUAGAGGAUCAUAAGGCAACAUCGGUGCAGUAUGUAAAAAAGCAUGAGCUACAUGGAUGUUAUUCAUUCAUUUCUCUUCAUAGAAACAUGAUUCCAUUUACAUUUUAUUUGCAUCUUGUAAAUAUUUUCUCAGAACCCUAGCAGGACACUGGAAAUUAUAAAAGCACACAUUACCAGCUGAACAUAUGUAACCAAGGUUUUCUCUUUGCUUGCAGCUCAGCCUAUUCCACGUGCUCUGAUUUAAAGCUCUAUAAUACAAUUACCACAUAGGAAUUCUGUUUAGUUACAUUUAACUUUUGUGAGGGAAGCAAAAGACUUGUCAGAUCAUUUGUCUUAUUUAAUGCAAACAUAUUUCCAUGCUUUUGUCCUGCAAAAAAAGGAACUUUUAAAGGAAGUCUAUCUCAAUAUUUCUUUGCAUAGUCUGGAAUGCGUGAAGUAAUUAAAAGAUAAGAACUGGGAAA